ACGUAGGGUGCAAGCGUUAAUCGGAAUUACUGGGCGUAAAGCGUGCGCAGGCGGUUUCGUAAGACAGAUGUGAAAUCCCCGGGCUUAACCUGGGAAUUGCAUUUGUGACUGCGGGACUAGAGUUUGGCAGAGGGAGGUGGAAUUCCAAGUGUAGCAGUGAAAUGCGUAGAUAUUUGGAAGAACACCGAUGGCGAAGGCAGCCUCCUGGGCCAAGACUGACGCUCAUGCACGAAAGCGUGGGGAGCAAACAG
rnacentral:rRNA from 1 species